rnacentral:siRNA from 1 species
AAGCGUGCCUAAUUAGGUGGAUG